rnacentral:rRNA from 1 species
CCUACGGGAGGCAGCAGUGAGGAAUAUUGGUCAAUGGCCGGAAGGCUGAACCAGCCAUGCCGCGUGAAGGUCAGUGCCCUAUGGGCGUUAAACUUCUUUUGUGCGGGAGCAAUAAUGGUCACGUGUGGCCAGACGAGAGUACCGUACGAAUAAGCAUCGGCUAACUCCGUGCCAGCAGCCGCGGUAAUACGGGGGAUGCAAGCGUUAUCCGGAUUUAUUGGGUUUAAAGGGUGCGUAGGUUGUGAGGUAAGUCAGCGGGGAAAUGCCCCCGCUCAACGGGGUGAAGUGCCAUUGAUACUGCCUUGCUGGAAUGCGGAUGCCGUGGGAGGAAUGUGUGGUGUAGCGGUGAAAUGCAUAGAUAUCACACAGAACACCGAUUGCGAAGGCAUCUCACGAAUCCGCGAUUGACGCUGAUGCACGAAAGCGUGGGUAUCAAACAGGAUUAGAUACCCCGGUAGUC